rnacentral:rRNA from 1 species
CAGUAGCCACGGGAAUACGUAGGUGGCAAGCGUUAUCCGGAAUUAUUGGGCGUAAAGGGCUCGCAGGCGGUUUCUUAAGUCUGAUGUGAAAGCCCCCGGCUCAACCGAGGAGGGUCAUUGGAAACUGGGAAACUUGAGUGCAGAAGAGGAGAGUGGAAUUCCACGUGUAGCGGUGAAAUGCGUAGAGAUGUGGAGGAACACCAGUGGCGAAGGCGACUCUCUGGUCUGUAACUGACGCUGAGGAGCGAAAGCGUGGGGGGCGAACAGGAUUAGAUACCCCAGUAGUCCCUGUCUCUUAUAA